rnacentral:misc_RNA from 1 species
AGAAAAUAAUAUUGCAUUCAUGUAUACAAGACCCUUAGAAGCCCAUAAAGAAAACAAACCCAAACCCAAAUUAACAUGGGUUAGGGGCCCUUUUAUGAGGUUUCUUUCGGGAAGCAGCGUUUCUGGAAGUAAUUAGCAGGGAUAUCAAUUGGUUGUUCCCAAAUUAAACUACAAGACCUUCACGUAGGUUUCUGGACUUGCUUACUAUUUCAUUUUUCUUAAAGAAAAAAGGUAGAUACACGCAGGAGUCAGUACUUGGAAUUAGUAUACACAGUAAAUAAGAGUGCUGAGGAGAACUACAAAAAAAAGUCUACUCUGGACGUUAUAUAAUUGGCUUAACAUCUUCACAAUUCUCAAAUUUUAUCCUUUGAGCACUGUCCUUGUAGGACAUUUGGUUCCAUGUUGUCCCCCGGCUUACACCUUCCAAACCAACAAUAAGGAUAUAGUUAUUUACUGCAACAUAAAUAACAAGACCAUGAAAACUAAAAAACUCGGCAACAAGAACCUCAGAACUUGCAUAUAAAAAUGACAAUUCAAGCAGGAUAUUUAACAGUAGUUCUUUCUACCCUCACAACAUAUUACAGUUUGCUGAUCAUAUAUGAUUAGAAAGUGAUGGUUAGAUGCACCUUCUCCAUAAUAAUUAACAAUCACUACACUAUGUUGUUCUUGCUUCUCUAGAUCAAUCAAAUGAAUUCAUUCUCACUAUGGCAACAAAGUAAUAGCAUAAUAGGGCAUCAUUGCAAAAUAUGGUAACUUGUUGCAGAAUGACAACAAUAUAAUUUUCUAGCUUUGCUCCAAUUUACUUUCGGAGUUUAUAAUUGAGCUAGAAAUAAAAUCCAGUUGGAGGAAGACUUACUACAGAAGCUAGGCAAUAUGAAUUUAUAGGUUUGAGACAAAUUGCCUAAACUUGGGAAUGAAUGGGCUUUAAAAUAUAUUGGCUAAUGCAUCUAAUGUAUCCGAUAACUAGAAAUUUAAGAAUGCUUUUCUUCUCAACUCAAGACUAUUAUUGUAGAUUUACGCCAAAAGUAAAAAAAAGGUGAAGCCAGUCUUGCAUUUUAGAUAAAGCAGGGAUGAAGAAUUGAAAUUACCAUAAAAUUUCAUAGCAGGAUUCUUCCCUCCCUUCACAAGUUCCAACAUGAAGAUGUUUCCCUCUCUUAGGUCAUUUGCUUUGGCAAACUCGCUCCAGCCACAUCCUAUAUAAACUUUGCCAUUCUUAUCUGUCCCUAACGAUACUAACCAUGAACUUCCUCUUUCAUUUGUAAGGAUCAUCUCAGAACAUUUGCCAAUUAGAUCAUUCCUCCUUGCAAAAUGUAUUGGAAUUUGUAGGCGAGAGUUUUGAAUGUGAGAUGCCUUCAUAGUGACAUAAAAAUGGGGAUGCCUGACUGAUGAAGAACUAGCUUCUCCAUCUUGACAUCUAUUGGCCUUAGGAUUUACUUUCAACCCUGCAAACAUCAUUGGCUAGAAAAAUAUCAAGUCUCUAAUCAAUAAGAACAAGAUAAUUCCUUUGCAAGUCAAAAGUGUUGCUGAGAAGUGUGUAUUCUCCUAGAAUGAAAAAAUAAUUCCUAGCAAAAAAUUUGAAUGUUGAUUCUUUUAUUGGCCCAAUUAAAUAAAAAAAUUUAACAAGUCUAUAUUCAAAUUAUUUUUUUAUUAUCCAACUAAAUUAAAAAUUACCUGUCCAUAUUUUUUUAAAUUUCUUUCUAAGUAACAAAAAAGAAAUUUUACAAAGACCAAAAUUGUGUGUAAAGCACAAUAAAAGACACUUAUAUUUAAAUAUUAAGUCAGUCAUUAGCCCUUCUUAAGUCUAAAUGUUGCGUCCAUCACCUAUAUAAUGUGUCAAGAGCUUAUGCAUCUACCUUCCCCUUACAGAUAACUGAAACUUUUUUUAGUUAGUACCAUUCUGUUUUCAUCUUCCCCAGCCCCGGCCCCAAACUUCCAUUCCAUGUUAAUUUUUUGCUAUCACUAUUACAAAUGCAAUGAUGUAAUCUUCCAAGUAUAUGAGGUAAUGUUUGACAAAUUUUUUUCCUACUUCAGUGAUUUCCAAACAAUAAAUCAAGAAGUUACUGUAAAUUAUAGGUGAAACUUCCUGGAUUUAUGCAAUUCCGACAAAUCAGAAAGCUAAAGCAUGUUAAUUAACAUCGCUCGUGUAUGACAAACAUAGUUCUGUUGCCUUAUUAGAUUCAUGUUCUUCUACCCAAAAAAAAGGGACAGCAAGAAACCAAAAAAAUAUGAGAUUUUAUCACUUUGUCCUGCAUCAGGAAAAAAAAAGCAGCUAAAUAGAACUUACUACACAUUUUCAAUACAGGCUUCUUCUCCUUUUCAAUGAGCUCAAAAAUGAAAGAAUCUCCUGGAUGAAGGUCAUUUGCAUCACGGAACGCCUGCCAACCGUGAAUAUAAGCUGGACCAUCUGGCUUUUUGUUCCAUAACUUUGCUGGCCAAGACCUUCCUUUUAGAUCCAUAAGAAUCAUCUUACAACAUCUAUUGCUCAGAUUGUUCAGCCUUGCAAAUUUUGCCGGAAUAUACAAUCUUGACCGACAGGCACUGCGAGAUGUCACUUUUGCAACAAAGUAAGGAUGUUCAAGAGCAGAAGAACUAGCUUUCACUUCAAAGUUGGUCAUAGCUUGCUUCUUCUUUUUGGGCUUCCCUGAAUCAUUGAAUAACAUUUGAGAAACAACAUUCACUAACCAUGGAAGAAAACAUUGUUGAAUCUAUCACCAUUAGCAUAGGAUAAGCAUUCCAUCUACCAAGAAUCAGAUGGCAUUUGAUUUGUUCUGAUUCAAAAACAUGAAGCAUUUUUUAGGCUAUGUUUUUUAAUAUUUUAUCGUCUCCAGAGUUUUAAGGAAUAUUGUUUUUCUUGACAUUUGAAGUGUGCAAUUGAUCUCAAAAUUGGAGAAAACAUUGUUGAAAAUACAAAUAAUGCCUAAACUAAUGGCCAACUAAGUGAAGCAACAAGCCUUACUUUCAGCAUAUACAAAACUGGCAAUUAACUUGAACAGGCAUACUAUGACACACAGCAAUGAACUUACUGGUACCACAUUCUUUUGCUAGUUCUUCUUCUGGAAUUUUCUGCAAUUGAACUCCACAUGUGAGUAGUAAUUCAUGAUUAUCAAUGAAAAUAUUAUGUUUUGGCUUAGUACUCACCCUCUGAGAUUUUUCAAUGUAAGAUGACUUCUUAGUGACACUAAAAUGGUGAUGUUUGAUUGAUGAGGAUCCAGCUUGCACAUCAUGAUAAAUCAGCUCCUCUUUAGCCUCAGUAUUUGUUUGCAGCCCACAUAAUUUCAAUGUAGGUAUCUUCUGCUUUUCAAUGUGUUCAAAAAUUAAAGAAUCUCCUGCAUUAAGAUUAUUUGCAGCACGGAAGGAAGUCCAACCGCGUCCAAUAUAAAUUUGACCAUCUGAUUUCUUGCACCAUAACAUUGCUGGCCAAGACCUUCCCUUUUGAUUCAUAAGAAUCAUCUUGCAACGUCUAUUGCAUAGAUUGUGUGUCCUUGCAAAUUUAAUUGGAAUAUGCAAUCUACUUCGCCCAGCGCUGUAAGAUGUCAGUUUUACCACAAAGUAACGCUCUUCAUGAACAGAAGAAGUAGCUUUUCCUUCUAAGGUAGUCCUGGCAUGCUUCUUCCUGUUGAACUUCUCAGGACUGGAUUUUUUAGCAAGUUGUUGUUCCUGAAAUUCUAUUUUCUCCUCUUUUAUAUCAAAUUCUUCUGUAGGAAAGGAAGGAUAUUCUCUCAAACAGGCACUUGGUUCAAACACCAUGACAUCAAAAACCAUAUCCCCUUCAUGUCUAAACACCAAGAAAUCACCAACAUGCAAGUCAUGGUCUUGAACAAACUCUUUCCAACCAUCUUCAAAACUCCUACCGUUGAUCUUCACAGGCCAAAUCUUCCCAGCACGCCCUCUCAAUACAGCUCUCUCACAAUUUUGUCCCUUCAAGUACUUGAAAAAUGAAACAGGAAUUGAAAGUGGAUGAUGAUCAAAACCUGGAAGAACUGGCUGCAAGAAGUGUGGUUUACUGGGAAGCAUUGUUUCUGUUGCCAUACAAGAAGAAACGGAGUUAGCCGGCGUUGUGAUCAUUCUUUGAUUUGCGCCUCAUAUUUUGAUCUUUCUUUGCUUCAUAUUUAACUCCAAAAUCAACGCCCAACGACGUUUUCUUUGUUGUUUUCCUGGCAAUGUUGUACUGUUAUUACUUUUGACCAGUUUACUUUUUACUGGCGAAUGGCGUUGGCACGGAAACACGACGGAAGUGAGCCAGUGACCUUUGCCUUUUGCACGUCUCUG